AGGUAACCUGCGGAAGGAUCAUUG
rnacentral:rRNA from 1 species